UAUUUACUUAACCAAAAUCGUUUCUUUAGGCCAGAAUCAGCGGAGACGUCAGAGUUCUCAGUGGAGUGCGGCGACGUGAUCCUAGUCGCUACUGACGGCGUGUUCGACAACGUGCCGGAGCCGGUGCUGGUGGCGGAGAUGCGGCGCGCGCAGGGCCUCGCCGGCGACACGCAGCGCCUGCAGGCCGUCGCCAACUCCAUCGCGUGGAUGGCGCGCAACUUGUCCUUCGAUGGCUGCUAUAUGUCGCCCUUCGCCAAGAGCGCGCGACAGAAUGGCAUUGAUGCUAUUGGGGGAAAACCGGACGACAUAACGGUGCUACUUGCAAUUGUAGCGCUAUGAAAAUGUCCCCAUGUGAUUUAUGUAGCUAGAUUCUAGGUACAUUUUUGUUCAAAAUUACUACAAAAUUUAGUUAAUUAAUAGUGAUAACAAAUGAAGUUUGGACCUUUUUUUUGUAAUUGAUCUGUAAUUAUUUUUUCGAAUGUCUUUGGUUACAAAGUGCAGGAGGUGCCCACUUCAAGCAAUGUUUCAUUGCGAUUUAUUAUGAGACAGAUAUUUUCGAAAAUCUGUUUUGUAUGUAUAUUCGUCAUUUAAUUAUUACAUUGUGCAUAUUAAUGUGUAAAUAAAUACCUUUUGUACUAUAUGACUUCAGUUUUGUAAUAAUAAAUAUUUCUGUAUGAUCUCAAAGUUGUUUGUAUGUUUUUAUAAUUGUACAGGGCGAGUCAUCAAUAGGACACCUCCUAAACUUGAUUCUGUCAACUAUUAGUUAUACAAUAGAAUUGUUUAUUCAGAGUCAUCACGCUGUGACGCCAUGAUCUGACUGUCUGCUUCUAAAUAAUUGUGAUUCGAAUGAAACUGCUUUGUGUUUGUUGAUGACAUGAUGUAAACGAAGCAGUUUAUUUUGUGUAAGAUUAGAGAAUUCUGAAAGUAAUUGGGUCAGCGAAAGUUACCGUGACCUAGAUAAACAAUGUUUUGCACAGAUCUACUUAUGCUAUCUGUUAAGAUUGUACAAACAUCUUUGUGAAUUCAUAACACCUGCUGUAAAAACACAAGUGAUGCUAAACUUGUGUUUUACUUCAGAUGAAUGUUAGAACAAAAUGUUUGAAGUGAAACAAACAUAGCCACCAUUUUUAUUUAGUUGGCCCAAUUGUACAAAAUAGUAGUAUAUAAUUUAAUUACCAAUUGCGUGAUUUGAAAGAUGAUGAUACUUCGUAAAUUGAUUUUUUUAAUCAGCUGUGUCUUGGAAUUGAGUGUGAAAGUUUGAAUGAAGACUGAAUACAACUAGAUUUAAUGUUCUUGUUGUUACUAGUAGUUUUAAUGAUGUUACGAAACUAUGUUUGAAACGUUCACAACUAACGGUUCUAUGUAAGACACUUAAUUGUUCUUUUUAUAAAUUUUUAUGUAAAUUAUAUGUGUAAUGAUUGUAUGUCUCAUUAUUUUUUAUAAAACAUUCAGACCUUUGUCGCAGCUGUUAAUUAUUUUUCGACUUAGUACCUAAAACCAAACACAUUUUAGAUGUAGAUUAUUAGAAAAUUUGACACAUGAAUUUUAUGAAAUCGAAGUAGUUAACUUAUAGCUGCAAUCGUUUGUAAAGAGCACUUGACGAUAAUAUAUAUUAAUCGUGGCUAAAGCGCUACUUACAAGUCUUGUUAUAAAAAAAACAGACUCGUUCCCCGACUUGUUUUUAGUAAUAAAACUAAAAGGUGCAUUUAUACUUGAUAAUACAUCAGAAGAGUUAAACUUAUCUGCAUUUGUUUUGCAAGUGUCGUUUUAGCCGUGACCUCAAUGUUAUUGAUAGUGUUAGCUAAAUCAGUGACAGGUCUUUGAGACAAUAUUUGGUUAUUCUCAGGCUGUGGCUAAUUAUUUGUAAAUAAAAAUCGCAUACAGAUUACCAUGCAGCUUUUAUUAAUUUGCUGUAUGUAACAAGUUACUGAAUAAUCGCAUUAUCAUUGACCUGAUCCCUAUCAUCUUUCAAUUAUAUCUGUGAAAAUUGCGUGGAAUUAGAAUAAACAAUUCUGAUUACGA